UUUAAAUGGCCGCAGUAUAUUAACUGUGCAAAGGUAGCAUAAUCAUUAGUCUUUUAAUUGAAGGCUGGUAUGAAUGGUUGGACGAGAUAUUAACUGUUUCAUAGAAAUUUAUAUUUGAAUUUUAUUUUUUAGUCAAAAAGCUAAAAUUUAUUUAAAAGACGAGAAGACCCUAUAAAUCUUUAUAUUUAAAUUAUUAAUGAUUUUAUAGUAAUAUUUUAUUUUAAUAAUUGAUGAUAUUUUAUUGGGGUGAUAUUAAAAUUUAAUAAACUUUUAAUUAUUUUUAUCAUUAAUUUAUGAAUAAUUGAUCCGUUAUUAACGAUUAAAAAUUUAAGUUACUUUAGGGAUAACAGCGUAAUUUUUUUGGAGAGUUCAUAUCGAUAAAAAAGAUUGCGACCUCGAUGUUGGAUUAAGAGAUAUUUUUAGGUGUAGCCGCUUAAAUUUUAAGUCU
rnacentral:rRNA from 1 species